ensembl:lncRNA
GGAACCAGGACGUGCAUGUGCAGCCGGAAACAGCAAGUGAAAAGAAUUGUUGGUUAGGAGAGAGUACCUUGUGAGAAUAGUUGGUUAAGAGAGAAGCCUGUGAGAAUGGUUGGUAAGGAGAGAGAGGAGCUUGUGAGAAUGGUUGGUUAGGAGAGAGAGAAGCCUGUGAGAAUGGUUUGCUAAGAGAGAGGAGCAUAUUAGAAUGGCUGUUUAGGAGAGAAAUGGACAUGUGAGAAUGGUUGGUAAGGGGAGAGAGGAUCUUGUGAGAAUGGUUGGUAAGGGGAGAGGAGCUGGUGAGAAUGAUUGGUUAGGAGAGAGGAGCUGGUGAGAAUGAUUGGUUAGGAGAGAGGAGCUGGUAAGAAUGAUUGGUUAGGAGAUAGGAGAUAGUAAGAACGGCUGGUUGGAAGAGAGAAAUGUGAGGGGAAGGUCAAAAAAGCCAAGUUAAGACAGCAGUUGUGGAGAUAUAUAUAUAUUUUUUAAUCAUAAAUAUGAUUUGUGUUAUUUUAAUUUACUUUGUUCUGUAACACGGAAUAAUCAAAUACACUUAAGAUGAGAUCGAAAAGUAAAGAAACCCAUAGCAUUUUUGAACCAAUUAAUUUGUUGGCUCUUGUUCUGUUAUUGGUUGUUGUUAAAAUCAAUGUUUCUAUGUAUUCUAAUAAUAGUAACUCUAACAGUCGGGUCUGUUUACCUGGCCAUAGCUUCAAAUUUGCAUUGUAGUUGUUAAUAAAGGUCAUGCCAUUUUAGUAGCUAAAGAAUGUCAUAUCAUUGUAGUAGCUAAUAAAGGUUCUUUUUUGGAGUAGCUGAUAACAGUCAUGUCCUUUUCUAGACGCUGAAUCAAUAAGAUACAGUGAGAAGUAAUUUAGGUAAACUGUGCAUUUAAUAUUUAGAAUGCUGGGUCAGGGGCUUUUCAAAUUCUGAUAUGAAUACAUUACCAAAUAAUUUUCACAACAAAAUAUUAUGUUUUCAUUUGUAUUUAAAUACAAUAUUGUCAAUAUUUCCAUGGUUGUUCACUAUGGAGUUGAACAGUAUAUUUGAAAUGUGCUAUAUUUAUAUUUACUGCUUUGGGACAGAGGGGUAUACGUUUAUUUGAAAGAUGGGUGAACUGAUUUAAACACAAUAGUUAUUCAUAGGUUGAUCAUAGAACAGUAACACAAUCUAUAUUAUCCUUAUCAAAUUACAGAAGGACCAGGUGAUUUUUUUAAACGUGCACCUAUUGAAAACAAAUCUCUUAACGUUUUAUUGUAUGGUAUUUAACAACAUUACAAAUUCAAAUAUUUUCUUUAAAAAGUGGAGCUACAAAACUGUGAAAAGGGCCAUGCUACUUGAUUGAUUUGGUGGGCGCUCCCACUCGUUCUCCUGUAUGUGAAAAGCAUUACAGCAGGGCAACAGAGCAGAAGUAAGAUGUGUUUUGUUAGUUGUCUGAAACCCUGGGGACUGGAAUCACCUAAUCUCCCCAUACUAUACCCAGGAUUGAGAAAAAUACAUACAUUUGUUUCUGACAAACAUUUUGUCAUUAAAAAAUAUGAAAUAGAAAAUAA